rnacentral:pre_miRNA from 7 species
UUCUCGGGUUUCUGCGUGCCCCCAGAUUCAGGACGAGCUCCCAAAAUGUAAGACCCCCUUUCGGGGACCCCCACCUAGUCUCAGGAGAGAGAGAACACCCAAAGAAACAUGAGAAUCC